UCAAGCUAAUAAGAGCACAGGGUGGAUGCCCAGGCACCAAACGCCGAUGAAAGACGUGGCAAGCUGCGAAAAGUCACGGGGAACCGCAAGCAGGUAUUGAUCCGUGAACGUCUGAAUGGGGAAACCCGGCGGGUUAACAGCCCGUCACUAUUAACUGAAUCAAUAGGUUAAUAGGGGGAACGCGGGGAACUGAAACAUCUCAGUACCCGUAGGAAGAGAAAAUAAAGAAUGAUUUCCUAAGUAGCGGCGAGCGAACGGGAAAGAGGCCAAACCGAAGGGCUUGCUCUUCGGGGUUGUGGAUCAGCAAUAAGGACGAGAGACCUUAGCAGAAGAGGAUUGGAAAGUCCCGCCAGAGAGGGUAAAAGCCCCUUACGCGAAAAGGUCAAACGACGAGCUGACACCAGAGUACCGCAGGACACGAGAAAUCCGGUGGGAAGCCGGGAGGACCACCUCCCAAGCCUAAAUACGAAUUGGUGACCGAUAGCGCAUAGUACCGUGAGGGAAAGGUGAAAAGAACCCCGGGAGGGGAGUGAAAAAGAACCUGAAACCCUGUGUUUACAAGCAGUGAAAGUGCAAGUUAGGCACGAUCACGUACUUUUUGUAGAACGGACCGGCGAGUUACGUUAUGCAGCAAGGUUAAGAACUGAAGGUUCGGAGCCGAAGCGAAAGCGAGUCUGAAUAGGGCGAUAGUUGCAUGACGUAGACCCGAAACCGGGUGACCUAUCCAUGAGCAGGUUGAAGUGGAGGUAAAGCUCCAUGGAGGACCGAACCAGACGUCUGUUGAAAAAGGCGGGGAUGACUUGUGGAUAGGGGAGAAAUUCCAAUCGAACCCGGAGAUAGCUGGUUCUCCUCGAAAUAGCUUUAGGGCUAGCCUCAUGGAUCAUUGAUGGGGGUAGAGCACUGAAUGUGCGCGGGGGCCACAAAGCCUACCAAACGCUAUCAAACUUCGAAUACCAUACAAUGCAGACCAUGGGAGUCAGUCCGCGAGAGAUAAGUUCCGCGGGCAAAAGGGGAACACCCCAGAUCAACCGCUAAGGUCCCCAAGUUCACGUUAAGUGGAGAAGGAUGUGGAAUUGCACAGACAACCAGGAUGUUGGCUCAGAAGCAGCCACACAUUUAAAGAGUGCGUAAUAGCUCACUGGUCGAGUGAUUGUGCGCCGAAGAUGUCCGGGGCUAAACGUGACACCGAAGCGAUGGGUGCAUCUGAAAGGAUGCGCGGUAGAGGAGCAAUGUGCAGAGGCAGAAGCCGUAUCGAGAGGCACGGUGGACACUGCACAAGAGAGAAUGCCGGUAUGAGUAGCGAGAGGCAUGCGAGAAACAUGCCCGUCGAAAGCCCAAGGUUUCCUGGGGAAGGUUCAUCCGCCCAGGGUAAGUCGGGGCCUAAGCCGAGGACGGAAGUCGUAGGCGAUGGACAGCAGGUGUAGAUUCCUGCACUACCGAUGGAAUGAAGCAGUGACACAGAAGGAUAACUCGAGCAGGGUGAUGGUCAACCCUGUGCAAGCAUCGAGGUUGGGUUGUAGUGAAGUACGCAACCCUAUAAGCUGAGAUGUGAUGCGGACCGAAAUUUCAGUAGGGAAGCGAGUGAGUUCACGCUGGCGAGAAAAGCUGCUAGUACAUCCAAAGGUACCCGUACCGGAAACCGACGCAGGUGGGCGAGGAGAGAAUCCUGAGACGAACGGGAGAACCCUUGUUAAGGAACUCGGCAAAAUGACCCCGUAACUUCGGGAUAAGGGGUGCCUGCGAGAGCAGGCCGCAGAGAAUAGUCACAAGCGACUGUUUAGCAAAAACACAGGUAUCUGCGAAAGCGAGAGCUGACGUAUAGGUGCUGACACCUGCCCGGUGCUGGAAGGUUAAGGGAACAUGUUAGAGCAAUCGAAGCAUCGAACCGAAGCCCCAGUAAACGGCGGCCGUAACUAUAACGGUCCUAAGGUAGCGAAAUUCCUUGUCGGGUAAGUUCCGACCCGCACGAAAGGCGUAAUGAUUUGAGCGCUGUCUCGACAAUGCAUCCGGUGAAAUUGAAGUACCAGUGAAGAUGCUGGUUACC
rnacentral:rRNA from 1 species